UAAGGGGCGGACAGACAGACGG
rnacentral:piRNA from 1 species